CUGCCUUUUCCUGGUAGGUACGUACCAUUAUUUUGUUGACGCCAGAAUCCGAGAGAAUCCCUUUCUUGUUGAGUUCAUCUAACUAAGCUUUACCUGUAUCCGACUCUUUCAGGCGGACCCAUUCGCUAUGCGAGCCAAGUGGAGAAAGAAGCGCAUGCGCAGAUUGAAGCGCAAAAGGAGAAAGAUGAGACAGAGGUCAAAAUAAGCUGUCCGCUGGAAGCCAACCGGUAACCAGCAGGAUCGAUUGAUCGAUCGAUCGAUCGAUGGAUGGAUGAAAGGAUGGAAGGAUGGAGUGAGAGUCCAGCAGGGGAGCCCUCAGGUGGAAGUCUGGCAUCUGCGUGUAAUCAACGGGCUGAGUCAACGCCUGCAGGUUGAAGGACUUCUCCUGACUUUUCUGGACUCUUAUUGUUUGUUCCCUCAUCGUUUUUCUAUGCUUAUUAAAUGAUUGGGUGUUUAAACAAUU